UACGGAGGGUGCAAGCGUUAUCCGGAUUCACUGGGUUUAAAGGGUGUGUAGGCGGAUUCUUAAGUCAGUGGUGAAAUCUCCGGGCUCAACCCGGAAACUGCCAUUGAUACUAUUAGUCUUGAAUUCUGUUGAGGUGGGCGGAAUACAUCAUGUAGCGGUGAAAUGCUUAGAUAUGAUGUAGAACACCGAUUGCGAAGGCAGCUCACUAAGCAGACAUUGACGCUGAGGCACGAAAGCGUGGGGAUCAAACAGG
rnacentral:rRNA from 1 species